rnacentral:rRNA from 1 species
UGGGGAAUUUUCCGCAAUGGGCGAAAGCCUGACGGAGCAACGCCGCGUGAGGGAGGAAGGCUUUUGGGUUGUAAACCUCUUUUCUCAAGGAAGAUAGUGACGGUACUUGAGGAAUCAGCAUCGGCUAACUCCGUGCCAGCAGCCGCGGUAAUACGGAGGAUGCAAGCGUUAUCCGGAAUAAUUGGGCGUAAAGCGUUCGUAGGUGGUUUUGUAAGUCUGCUGUUAAAGCGUGUAGCUCAACUACAUAUAGGCAGUGGAAACUACAAAACUUGAGUGCGUUCGGGGCAGAGGGAAUUCCUAGUGUAGCGGUGAAAUGCGUAGAGAUUAGGAAGAACACCAGUGGCGAAGGCGCUCAACUGGGCCGUAACUGACACUCAGGGACGAAAGCUAGGGUAGCGAAAGGGAUUAGAUACCCCCGUAGUCC